rnacentral:rRNA from 1 species
UACGUAGGGUGCAAGCGUUGUCCGGAAUUAUUGGGCGUAAAGAGCUCGUAGGCGGUUUGUCACGUCGGUUGUGAAAAUCCGAGGCUCAACCUCGGACCUGCAAUCGAUACAGGCAGGCUAGAGUUCGGUAGGGGAGACUGGAAUUCCUGGUGUAGCGGUGAAAUGCGCAGAUAUCAGGAGGAACACCGGUGGCGAAGGCGGGUCUCUGGGCCGAUACUGACGCUGAGGAGCGAAAGCGUGGGGAGCGAACAGG